rnacentral:sRNA from 1 species
AUUAUUGUCCGAGUGGCCGGAACGGGAGCCAACAUGGCAGCGGGGUUCGGGCGAUGCUGCAGGGUCCUGAGAAGUAUUUCUCAUUUUCAUUGGAGAUCACAGCAUACAAAAGCCAAUCGACAACGUGAACCAGGAUUAGGAUUUAGUUUUGAGUUCACCGAACAGCAGAAAGAAUUUCAAGCUACUGCUCGUAAAUUUGCCAGAGAGGAAAUCAUCCCAGUUGCUGCAGAAUAUGAUAAAACUGGUGAAUAUCCGGUCCCCAUAAUUAGAAGAGCCUGGGAACUUGGUUUAAUGAAUACACACAUUCCAGAGAACUGUGGUAAGCUUUCUUUAUAUUUUUAAUACUGGAAUGCAUAUGAGUAAGAAAAAUUGUGGAACUCUACUCAGUCACUUUUUUCAAAUAUUUCUUGCCAUUAAAUGACUUUCUGCCUUUGUCUUCCUGCUCACACUACAGUGUUUGCCCACUUUUGGAAGCUUGUUCUCUAUACUUAGAUGCAUUUUUCCUUCUUCUAACUGGUUCCAACCUUAACUUGCACCCAAACCUUGGUAACUUCUGUUUCUAGAGUUGGUCAAUUUGUU